rnacentral:rRNA from 1 species
UACGUAGGGGGCAAGCGUUGUCCGGAAUCAUUGGGCGUAAAGAGCGUGUAGGCGGCCCGGUAAGUCCGCUGUGAAAGUCCAGGGCUCAACCCUGGGAUGCCGGUGGAUACUGUCGGGCUCGAGUCCGGAAGAGGAGUGUGGAAUUCCUGGUGUAGCGGUGAAAUGCGCAGAUACUCAGGAAGAACACCCGUGGCGAAGGCGGCUCUCGUGGGACGGUACUGACGCUGA